rnacentral:rRNA from 1 species
UUAAUUGAAGAGUUUGAUCCUGGCUCAGAACGAACGCUGGCGGCGUGCUUAACACAUGCAAGUCGAACGAGAAAAUCCUGGCUUGCCAGGAUGAGUAAAGUGGCGCACGGGUGAGUAACACGUGAGUAAUCUGCCCCUAAGUCAGGAAUAACAUUGCGAAAGCGAUGCUAAUACCUGGUAAGCCCACGACUACCCCGGUAGAUGUGGGAAAAGGUGGCCUCUGACAUAAGCUAUCGCUUAGGGAUGAGCUCGCGGACCAUUAGCUUGUUGGUAGGGUAACGGCCUACCAAGGCUAUGAUGGUUAGCUGGCCUGAGAGGGUGGCCAGCCACACUGGAACUGAGACACGGUCCAGACUCCUACGGGAGGCAGCAGUGGGGAAUCUUGCGCAAUGGGGGAAACCCUGACGCAGCAACGCCGCGUGAGUGAAGAAGGCCUUCGGGUCGUAAAGCUCUGUCAGAUGGAAAGAAUAAGUUUGCUGAGAAUAUCGGCGAACGAUGACGGUACCAUCAGAGGAAGCACCGGCUAACUCCGUGCCAGCAGCCGCGGUAAUACGGAGGGUGCAAGCGUUGUUCGGAAUUAUUGGGCGUAAAGCGCGUGUAGGCGGGAAGAUAGGUCAGGUGUGAAAGCCCUUGGCUUAACCAAGGAAUUGCAUCUGAAACCAUCUUUCUUGAGUACGAUAGGGGAGGGCGGAAUUCCCAGUGUAGAGGUGAAAUUCAUAGAUAUUGGGAGGAACACCGGUGGCGAAGGCGACCCUCUGGAUCGAUACUGACGCUGAGACGCGAAAGCGUGGGUAGCAAACAGGAUUAGAUACCCUGGUAGUCCACGCCGUAAACGAUGUGCACUAGGUGUUGGAGGUACUUAAUCCUUCAGUGCCGCAGCUAACGCAUUAAGUGCACCGCCUGGGGAUUACGGCCGCAAGGUUAAAACUCAAAGGAAUUGACGGGGGCCCGCACAAGCGGUGGAGUAUGUGGUUUAAUUCGACGCAACGCGCAUAACCUUACCUGGGCUUGACAUGCUGGGAUUAGUUCUGAGAAAUCAGAGCGAUUGCCUUCGGGUGUAACCAGCACAGGUGCUGCAUGGCUGUCGUCAGCUCGUGUCGUGAGAUGUUGGGUUAAGUCCCGCAACGAGCGCAACCCUUACCGUUAGUUGCCAUCCUUAAGUUGGGCACUCUAAUGGAACUGCCGGUGUCAAACCGGAGGAAGGUGAGGAUGACGUCAAGUCCUCAUGGCCUUUAUGCCCAGGGCUACACACGUACUACAAUGGUCAAUACAACGGGCAGCAAGCUCGCGAGAGCAAGCAAAUCCCUGAAAGUUGACCCCAGUUCGGAUUGAAGUCUGCAACUCGACUUCAUGAAGUCGGAAUCGCUAGUAAUCGCGGAUCAGCAGGCCGCGGUGAAUACGUUCUCGGGCCUUGUACACACCGCCCGUCACACCACGAGAGUCAAUUGCACCAGAAGUCGUUGGGCUAAUCCCUAUCAAACGGGAAGGCAGACGCCUAAGGUGUGGUUGGUGAUUGGGGUGAAGUCGUAACAAGGUAGCCGUAGGAGAACCUGUGGCUGGAUCACCUCCUUUCUAUGGAA